GACAGAGGCCUCAAGCGUUAGGCGGAAUCACUGGGCUUAAAGCGUGUGUAGGCGGAUGCCUAAGUACCUUGUGAAAUCCCACGGCUCACCCGUGGAACCGCUGGGUAUACUGGGUGUCUUGGGCCAUUCAGGGGCGACUGGAACAAGCGGUGGAGCGGUGAAAUGCGUAGAUAUCGCUUGGAACGCCGAAGGUGAAAACAGGUCGCUGGGGAUGUGCCGACGCUGAGACACGAAAGCCAGGGGAGCAAACGGG
rnacentral:rRNA from 1 species